rnacentral:rRNA from 1 species
UACGGAGGGUGCAAACGUUGCUCGGAAUCAUUGGGCGUAAAGCGCACGUAGGCGGUCUGUUAUGUCGGAUGUGAAGGCCCUUGGCUCAACUGAGGAAGUGCAUCCGAAACUGGCAGGCUAGAGUACGAAAGAGGAUCGCGGAAUUCCCGGUGUAGAGGUGAAAUUCGUAGAUAUCAAGCGGAACACCGGUGGCGAAGGCGACCUUCUGGACAGUGACUGACGCUGAGACGCGAAAGCGUGGGGAGCAAACAGG